GACGAACGCUGGCGGCGUGCCUAACACAUGCAAGUCGAACGGAACUGUUUUGAAAGAUUUCUUCGGAAUGAAUUUGAUUUAGUUUAGUGGCGGACGGGUGAGUAACGCGUGAGUAACCUGCCUUCAAGAGGGGAAUAACAUUCUGAAAAGAAUGCUAAUACCGCAUGACAUAUCGGAACCACAUGGUUUUGAUAUCAAAGAUUUUAUCGCUUGAAGAUGGACUCGCGUCCGAUUAGUUAGUUGGUGAGGUAACGGCUCACCAAGACCGCGAUCGGUAGCCGGACUGAGAGGUUGAACGGCCACAUUGGGACUGAGACACGGCCCAGACUCCUACGGGAGGCAGCAGUGGGGGAUAUUGCGCAAUGGGGGCAGCCCUGACGCAGCAACGCCGCGUGAAGGAUGAAGGUUUUCGGAUUGUAAACUUCUUUUAUUAAGGACGAAAAAUGACGGUACUUAAUGAAUAAGCUCCGGCUAACUACGUG
rnacentral:rRNA from 1 species